rnacentral:rRNA from 1 species
GACGACGCUGGCGGCGUGCCUAAUACAUGCAAGUCGAACGAGUGGCUGACGGGUGAGUAACAUGUGGGUAUCUACCCAUCUGAGUGGGCUAACACUUGGAUACAGGUGCUAAUACCGCAUACUGAUGGCGGGACUCGCGGUGCAUUAGCCAGUUGGUGGGGUAACGGCUCACCAAGGCCACGAUGCUUAGCCGGCCUGAGAGGAUGAUCAGCCACACUGGGACUGAGACACGGCCCAGACUCCUACGGGAGGCAGCAGUGGGGAAUAUUGCACAAUGGGCGCAAGCCUGAUGCAGCCAUGCCGCGUGUAUGAAGAAGGCCCUAGGGUUGUAAAGUACUUUCAGUCGGGAGGCGUUACCGACAGAAGAAGCACCGGCUAACUCCGUGCCAGCCGCCGCGGUAAUAC